AUACACAAAUAUUGUGUAAAUAUUUUAAAAAUUGGAACGAUACAGAGAUUAGCAUGGUCCCUGUUCAUGGAUGACACGCAAAUCGUGAAGCGUUCCAUAUUUUU